CUCCACCUCCUCCUCCUCCUCCUCCACCU
rnacentral:sRNA from 1 species